rnacentral:rRNA from 1 species
AACGAACGCUGGCGGCAGGCUUAACACAUGCAAGUCGAGCGCCCCGCAAGGGGAGCGGCAGACGGGUGAGUAACGCGUGGGAAUCCACCCAUCCCUACGGAAUAGCUCCGGGAAACUGGAAUUAAUACCGUAUAAUAUCUUCGGAUCAAAGAUUCAUCGCCUAAAGAUUAGCCCGCGUCUGAUUAGCUAGUUGGUGGGGUAAAGGCCUACCAAGGCGACGAUCAGUAGCUGGUCUGAGAGGAUGAUCAGCCACACUGGAACUGAGACACGGUCCAGACUCCUACGGGAGGCAGCAGUAAGGAAUAUUGGACAAUGGGGGAAACCCUGAUCCAGCCAUGCCGCGUGAGUGACGAAGGCCUUAGGGUUGUAAAGCUCUUUUGGUGGGGAAGAUAAUGACUGUACCCACAGAAUAAGCCCCGGCUAAAUUCGUGCCAGCCGCCGCCGUAA